rnacentral:rRNA from 1 species
UACGUAGGUGACAAGCGUUGUCCGGAUUUACUGGGCGUAAAGAGCGCGCAGGCGGUCGUACAAGUCGCGUGUGAAAGCCCCUGGCUCAACUGGGAGGGUCACGCGAUACUGUUCGACUCGAAGGCAGGAGAGGGAAGUGGAAUUCCCGGUGUAGUGGUGAAAUGCGUAGAUAUUGGGAGGAACACCAGUGGCGAAGGCGGCUCACUGGACCGGUACUGACGCUGACGGCGCGAAAGCUGGGGAGCGAACGAGG